GAAUGUGAAAUCUGAUAGAGGUUUUCAGAGUGUGUUUAGAGUGUUGGGAGUGCAUUGGGAGUGUUCUUCAAUCCAUAGCUAGAGGACUCCUGAUAUCUCCAGGAGUGAUAAUGGCAGCCUUGGGCUGGCCUUCUGGGCAAGGUGGGUCUUUGCACUAAUCUUGCAUACUCGAAUGCCUCUGCUACCCCGAAGCUAGAGAGGAAGUGAUAGUCACUUGCAACCUAACAUUACAGCUGCCAGAAACAAGAUGAAGCCAACAGAGCAGACAAAGCCAACAAGCAUCAUUCUUGGUUUCUUGGAUCUGAAUCAACUCGACCCCAGAAGAGAAAAAGAAGCUCAUGACCAAUCCAGAAACCAAUUAAUUUUGAAAGGGAGAUACUUGCGGAGACAGUUUGAUUUUGAGGGAACCUGAGGCUGUGCAAGUUGUGGUUGUGCAAACCUUAACACUGAGAGUGCAACAACCCCCACAGACUCAGACUCAUCCCCCCUGCCCCACUACCAACCAAGCAAGAGUAUCUCCAGAAACAUCAGCGCAAAGGGUUUGGUGAGACCAUGGCCAAUAUACACUGAGUGUACGAAACACAUGCUCUUUCCAUGACAUAGACUGACCAGGUGAAUCCAGGUGAAAGCUAGGAUCCCUUAUUGAUGACACCUUAAUUCACUUCAAUCAGUGUAGAUGAAGGAGGGGAAACAGGUUAAAGAAGUAUUUUUAUGCCAUUAGACAUGGAUUGUGUAUAUAUAGAAUAAAACACGCAUCCUGUUUGCAAUAAGGCACUAAUGUAUGUAUUUAUAUGUUAUUGCUACACUUCCAAUAACAUCUGCUAACCAAGUGUAUGUGACCAAUAAAAUGUUAUUUGAUUUGAAGUAAAACUGCAAAGAAUUGGCGUUAGGUUUGGGGCAAAUCCAACACAUUACUGGGAACCACUCUCCGUAUUUUCAAGAAUAGUGGUGGCUGAAGCAUGUCAUGGCUAUACUUGUAAUUGUUAAGAACUGGCAAGUUUUUCAGGUUAAAAAAUAAACGUAAUGGAGCUAAGCACAGGCAAAAUCCUAGAGGAAGACCUGGUUCAGUCUGCUUUCCACCAGACACUGGGAGAUUAAUUCACCUUUCAGCAGGACAAUAACCUAAAACACAUGACCGAAUCUAUACUGGAGUUGCUUACCAAGAUGACAGUGGAUGUUCUUGAGUGGCCGAGGUACAGUUUUAACUUCAAUCUGUUGAAAAUCUCUAGCAAGACCUGAAAAUGGUCAUCUAGCAAUGAUCAACAACCAAUUUGACAGAGCUUGAAGAAUUUUGAAAAUAAUAAUAAUUGAAAAAAUAUGUUCUACAGAUUUUUCACCUUGAUGGCUCCUGUAUUCGAACCAGUAACCUUGCGCAAUCCAGGUGUGGAAAGCUCUUAGAGACUUACCCAGAAAGACUCACAGCUGUAAUCGCUCGCUACGUGAAAUGUCUUGGUUCGCCGGGUCCCUCUCGGUGGACGGGGCUGGCUUGGAAAGGGAUUUGGGCCUUUUCGCGGCACACUUGUAAGGCUCUGAUUGUCCAAAAUGGUUCCGUCAAGUCUCAUACUGUUGUCCUUAUUUGUAGUUGUCCGGUAUCUGGUGAUUGUCGUGUAGUCCUGAACAGAACUACAGAGUUUAUUUUCCAUCCAUUCGCUCCUGAAGAUGCUUCUUUGAAGAUAGGUUCCCAGUGGGUUUAUGAGAGUAGCGUAAUACGAUGGUUUGAGCAGAGUAGUAGGACAGUACUACUUACAUUUUCUUUCAAAGAUACCUUACUUGGGACAGCUAAUGAGCCGUUUGUCCUGACAUUUAAUCUUAGUAAAAAUUCCCUGUCUUAGGUCAGUUAGGAUAACCACUUUAUUUAAAUAAUGUGAAAUGCCAGAAUAAUAGUAGAGAGAAUUAUUUAUUUCAGCUUUUAUUUCUUUCAUCACAUUCAAAGUGGGUCAGAGGUUUACAUACACUCAGUUAGUAUUUGGUAGCAUUGCCUUUAAAUUGUUUAAUUUGAGUCAAACGUUUCGGGUAGCCUUCCACAAGCUUCCCACAAUAAGUUGGGUGAAUUUUGGCCAAUUACUACUGACAGAGCUGGUGUAACUGAGUCAGGAUUGUAGGCCUCCUUGCUCGCACACGUUUUUCAGUUCUGCCCACAAAUUUCUAUAGGAUUGUGGUCAGGGCUUUGUGAUGGCCACUCCAAUACCUUGACUUUGUUGUCCUUAAGCCAUUGUGACAAUACUUUGGAAGUAUGCUUGGGGUCAUUGUCCAUUUGGAAGACCCAUUUGCGACCAAGCUUUAACUUCCUGACUGAUGUCUUGAGAUGUUGCUUCAAUAUAUCCACAAAAUUGUCCUGCCUCAUGAUGCCAUCUAUUUUGGGAAGUGCACCAGUCCCUCCUGCAGUAAAGCACCCCCACAACAUGAUGCUUCCACCCCCGUGCUUAAUGGUUGGGAUGGUGUUCUUCGGCUUGCAAGCAUCCCCCUUUUUCCUCCAAACAUAAUGAUGGUUAUUAUGGCCAAACAGUUCUAAUUUUUGUUUCAUCAGACCAGAGGACAUUUCUUCAAAAAGUACAACCUUUGUCCCCAUGUGCAGUUGCAAACCAUAGUCUGGCUUUUUUAUGGUGGUUUUGGAGCAGUGGCUUCUUCCUUGCUGAGCAGCCUUUCAGGUUAUGUCGAUAUAGGACUCGUUUUACUGUGGAUAAAGAUACUUUUGUACCGGUAUCCUCCAGCAUCUUCACAAGGUCCUUUGCUGUUGUUCUGGGAUUGAUUUGCACUUUUCACACCAAAGUACGUUCAUCUCUAGGGGACAGAACACAGUAUGACGGCUGCUUGGUCCCAAGGUGUUUAUACUUGCAUACUAUUGUUUGUACAUAUGAAAGUGGUACCUUCAGGUGUUUGGAAAUUGCUCCCAAGGAUGAACCAGACUUGUGGAGGUCUACAAUUAUUUUAUGAGGUCUUGGCUGAUUUCUUUUGAUUUUCCCAUGAUGUCAAGCAAAGAGGCACUGAGUUUGAAGGCAGGCCUUGAAAUACAUCCACAGGUACAACUCCAAUUGACUCAAAUUAUGUCAAUUAGCUUAUCAGAAGCUUUUAAAGCCAUGACAUAAUUUUCUGGAAUUUUCCGAGCUGUUUAAAGGCACAGUCAACUUAGUGUAUGUAAAAUUCUGACCCACUGGAAUUGUGAUACAGUGAAUUAUAAGUGAAAUAAUCUGUCUUUAAACAAUUGUGGGAAAAAUGACUUGGGUCAUGCACGAAGUUGAUGUCCUAACCGACUUGCCAAAACUAUAGUUUGUUAACAACAAAUUUGUGGAGUGGUUUAAAAACUAGUUUUAAUGACUCCAACCUAAGUGUAUGUAAACUUCCGACUUCAACUGUACAUGUUGUGGGUAUACAGUCGUGGCCAAAAGUUUUGAGAAUGACUCAAAUAUUAAUUUUCACAAAGUCUGCUGCCUCAGUUUGUAUGAUGGCAAUUUGCAUAUACUCCAGAAUGUUAUGAAGAGUGAUCAGAUGAAUUGCAAUUAAUUGCAAAGCCACUCUUUGCCAUGCAAAUUAACUGAAUCCCCCCAAAAAAUGUCCACUGCAUUUCAGCCCUGCCACAAAAAGACUAGCUGACAUCAUGUCAGUGAUUCUCACGUUAACACAGGUGUGAGUGUUGACAAGGACAAGGCUGGAGAUCACUCUGUCAUGCUGAUUGAGUUCGAAUAACAGACUGCAAGCUUCAAAAGGAGGGUGGUGCUUGGAAUCAUUGUUCUUCCUCUGUAAACCAUGGUUACCUGCAAGGAAACACAUGCCGUCUUCAUUGCUUUUCACAAAAAGGGCUUCACAGGCAAGGAUAUUGCUGCCAGUAAGAUUGCACCUAAAUCAACCAUUUAUCGGAUCAACAAGAACUUCAAGGAGAGCGGUUCAAUUGUUGUGAAGAAGGCUUCAGGGCACCCAAGAAAAUCCAGCAAGCGCCAGGAACAUCUCCUAAAGUUGAUUUAGCUGCGGGAUCAGGGCACCACCAGUACAGAGCUUGCUCAGGAAUGGCAGCAGGCAGGUGUGAGUGCAUCUGCAUGCACAGUGAGGCGAAGACUUUUGGAGGAUGGCCUGGUGUCAAGAAGGGCAGCAAAGAAGCCACUUCUCUCCAGGAAAAACAUCAGGGACAGACUGAUAUUCUGCAAAAGGUACAGGGAUUGGACUGCUGAGGACUGGGGUAAAGUAAUUUUCUCUGAUGAAUACCCUUUCCGAUUGUUUGGGGCAUCCGGUAAAAAGCUUGUCCAGAGAUGACAAGGUGAGCGCUACCAUCAGUCCUGUGUCAUGCCAACAGUAAAGCAUCCUGAGACCAUUCAUGUGUGGGGUUGCUUCUCAGCCAAGGGAGUGGGCUCACUCACAAUUUUGCCUAAGAACACAGCCAUGAAUAAAGAAUGGUACCACACAUCCUCUGAGAGCAACUUCUCCCAACCAUCCAGGAACAGUUUGGUGAUGAACAAUACCUUUUCCAGCAUGAUGGAGCACCUUGCCAUAAGGCAAAUGUGAUAACUAAGUGGCUCGGGGAACAAAACAUCGGUAUUUUGGGUCCAUGGCCAGGAAACUCCCCAGACCUUAAUCCCAUUGAGAACUUGUGGUCAAUCCUCAAGAGGCGGGUGGACAAACAAAAACCCACAAAUUCUGAGAAACUCCAAGCAUUUAUUAUGCAAGAAUGGGCUGUCAUCAGUCAGGAUGUGGCCCAGAAGUUAAUUGACAGCAUGCCAGGACGGAAUGCAGAGGUCUUGAAAAAGAAGGGUCAACACUGCAGAUAUUGACUCUUUGCAUCAACUUCAUGUAAUUGUCAACAAAAGCCUUUGACACUUAUGAAAUGCUUAUAAUUAUACUUCAGUAUUCACAUCUGACAAAAAUAUCUAAAGACACUGAAGCAGCAAACUUUGUGAAAAUGAAUAUUUGUGUCAUUUUCAAAACUUUUGGCCACGACUCUACUAUCCAAGUUACAGUAUUUCCUUCGUAACAUUUUUAGUGACAUCACAAAACAAAAUGUCAUUAGUGUUCUGUAGAUCACCUCUGACCAUUCCCCACGUUCAAUGUUAGAAAUAUUGUUCCAGUAGUUGCUUUUGAACGUGUUAGAGUUUCGACAGGAAAAAGUAUCUUGAAACAAAGGACAUUCCUUUGGUGAAUAUUGGAGAGGGAGGCCUGCAUCUUCUCUCAUUGAUUUACGACAGGACGUGUUAUUAAUCCCACCUAGUUCUUUCCUCCCCCUCUGUGGGUGAGAGGGGGUCUGAGUGAAGUUAUUCUUUGCAAAGCUGAUCUGACCUAUUCAGAUUCUCGUGGAUAGUAAUGAGACGGUACUGGUACAUAUACACAGUACCAGUCAAAAGUUUGGACACACCUACUCAUUCAAGGGUUAAUCUUUAUUUUUUACUAUUUUCUACAUUGUAGAAUAAUAGUGAAGACAUCAACACUAUGAAAUAACACAUAUGGAAUCAUGUAGUAAUCAUGUAGUAAUCAUGUAGUAAUCAACGAAGGGUUAAUAAAAUCAAAAUAUAUUUUACAUUUUAGAUUCUUCAAAGUAGCCACAUUUGCUUUGAUGACAGCUUUGGACACUCUUGGCAUUCUCUCAACCAGCUUCACCAGGAAUGUUUUUCCAACAGUCUUGAAGGAGUUCCCACAUAUGCUGAGCACUUGUUGGCUGCUUUUCCUUCACUCUGCAGUCCAACUCAUCCCAAACCAUCUCAAUUGGGUUGAGGUCAGGUGAUUGUGGAUGCCAGGUCAUCUGAUGUAGCACUCCAUCACUUUCCUUCUUUGUCAAAUAGCCCUUACACAGCCUGGAGGUGUGUCGGGUCAUUUUCCUAUGAAAAACAAAUGACAGUCCCACUAAACGCGAACCAGAUGGAAUGGCGUAUCGCUACAGAAUGCUGUGGUAGCCAUGCUGGUUAAGUUUGCCUUGAAUUCUAAAUAAACCACUGACAGUGUGACAAGCAAAGCACCGCCACACAAUCACACCUCCCCCUCCAUGCUUCACGGUGGGAACCAUACAUGCAGAGAUCAUCUGUUCACCUACUCUGUGUCUCACAAAGACACAGCGGUUGGAACUAAAAAGCUAAAAUUUGGACUCAUCAGCAAUUCAACCAUGAUGACCUGAUUCACGGAGUCUCCUCUGAACAGUUGAUGUUGAGAUGUGUCUGUUACUUGAACUCUGUGAAGCAUUUAUUUGGGCUUCAAUUUCUGAGGCUGGUAACUCUAAUGAACUUAUCCUCUGCAGCAGAGGUAACUCUGGGUGUUCCUUUCCUGUGGCGGUCCUCGAGAGAGACAGUUUCAUCAUAGCCCUUGAUGGUUUUUGCGACUGCACUUGAACAAACUUUCAAAAUUCUUAACAUUUUCCGGAAUGACUGACCUUCAUGUGUUAGUGUAAUGAUGAACUGUCAUUUCUCUUUGCUUAUUUGAGCUGUUCUUGUCAUAUUAUGGGCUAUAUUCUGUAUACCACCCCUACCUGGUCACAACAAAACUGAUUUUGCAUUUCACUGUUAGUCCUCAGCUGUUGUUUUACGAAGCAUGUGACAAUAAAAUGUUAUUUUACUGCAAUUCAACAGAGGUUCAAUUCUCAAUGGCUGACGUGCGCAUUCAUUCUAUCUUCUGAAUUGAAAUAAUGAGAAAUAAAGUUGAUUUGGUUGGUUUCUGGUGUAGCAGGUAAAAUGUCACAUGGACACAAUGCUGAUGGUGAUGCAUGAAAUGUAGCUGAAGGUGGGAGACAUCACCACCAAUUAAGUCAGUGUCACAACAGUGGCCUUUACAUAUACAGUGCAUUCGGAAAGUAUUCAGACCCUUUGACUUUUUCCACAUUUUUUUACAUUACAGCCUUAUUCUAAAAUUGAUUAAAUCGUUUUUUCCCCUCAUCAACCUACCCACAACACCCUAUAAUGACAAAGCAAAAAUAGUUUUGG
rnacentral:lncRNA from 1 species